AAGGCAAGGCAAGAGGGCAAACCUCUCUCUUCCUAAAUCGCAUGCAAGCAAAGAAAGGAAUUGGAAAGAGAUUGCCCUCACCGCCUUCUCUUCCCACCUCCCACCUCCCCCUCUCCUUGUCUCUUUUUUAAGUCUCUCCCCCCUCCUUCUUCUUCCUCUCUCUCUCUCUCUCUCCCCUUCUGAUGGCUGUCUCCAUCUUGCUCAGGUCAAGGAUAGUUUCGAUGUUCCUUCUGUUUAACCUUUUCUCCUCAGAGUUUGGCUUCCUUCGACUUGGUUCUUCGCUAGGCAUCAACUACGGGCAGGUAGCCAACAAUCUACCAUCGCCGGAACAAGUGCGCCUCCUCUUGACCUCCCUCAGGAUCACCAAGACGAGGAUUUACGACACCAACCCUCGAGUCCUCACAGCAUUCGCCAACACCGGCAUCGACCUCAUCGUGACGGUGCCGAACGAGGCCGUGGGCGUGAUGAUGGACCCUCGACAAGCUCUGCAAUGGGUCAUGACCAACGUACAACCCUACUUUCCGGCCACGAAGAUCACCGGCAUCUCCGUCGGCAACGAAGUGUACACGAGCGACGACCCGACCUUGAUGUCGAACCUCGUCCCGGCGCUGCUCAGCAUCCACUCCGCGCUCGUCCAACUCGGCCUUGACUCGUACAUUCACGUGUCGACGGCGAAUUCGCUGGCGGUGCUGGAGAACUCGUACCCGCCGUCGAUGGGGUCAUUCAAGCCGGAGAUGGCGAACCUGUUGGUGCCGUUCCUUCAGUUCCUGGCCGCGACGAAGUCGCCCUUCUGGAUCAAUGCGUACCCCUACUUCGCCUACAAGGAUAGCCCGGCGAAGGUCUCGCUAGACUACGUUCUGUUCAACCCGAACGCAGGGAUGGUGGAUCCUUACACCAAGCUUCGCUACGACAACAUGCUGUACGCUCAAGUGGACGCCGUCAUCUUCGCCAUUGCCCGGUUGGGCUACGGCGGCGUGGACGUCAGGGUGUCGGAGACCGGAUGGCCAUCGAAAGGCGACCCCAACGAGGUCGGCGCCACCGUGGAGAACGCCAGGGCUUACAACAGGAACCUGCUCCUGAGGCAGAUCAGGAGCGAGGGGACUCCGGUGAGGCCAAACCAGAGAUUGGAGGUCUACUUGUUUGCCCUGUUCAACGAGGACAUGAAGCCCGGGCCGACCUCGGAGCGGAACUACGGACUGUAUCAACCCGACGGGACCAUGGUCUAUAACGUCGGCCUGGCCGCAUUGACAUCUUCUGCAUCCGUUUCUCUCACAUCUUCCGCGACAAGGGACAUGAGGAAGGAAGUUGGCAGCUUGUGGUACUGGAUUCUCAUGUUCUCGUUGACUUUCCAAGCUUUUAUGAGAAUGGCAAUCUAACGAAAGAGGAAUGGCUUCACACGUGAUGACUCUUCUCUUUGGUUUUCUCUUUUACAAGGAAAAUGGAGAGACCAUGAACCGCAUUCAUGUCAUGGGACUUCCUCUUUGCCCAAACACCACCAAGAAGAAGAAGCAGUAGCGGCAGUACACCAGUGGAGGAACAAAAGCAAUCGAAAGCUUUGCGACGUGGAACGCACUCCGGUGGCUGUAUAAUAUGAUGUUCCCAUUCUCACUUUGUUUCUUUGAUUCGUUAUUAAAGUGUAAUCAUAAGCUAAAUAAAGAAAGAGUGCCAUUAUUUGGA